UACGUAGGUGGCAAGCGUUGUCCGGAUUUACUGGGCGUAAAGGAUGCGUAGGCGGAUAUUUAAGUGAGAUGUGAAAUUCCCGGGCUUAACUUGGGAGCUGCAUUUCAAACUGGGUAUCUAGAGUGUGGGAGAGGAAAGUGGAAUUCCUAGUGUAGCGGUGAAAUGCGUAGAGAUUAGGAAGAACCCCAGUGGCGAAGGCGACUUUCUGGACCAUAACUGACGCUGAGGCAUGAAAGCGUGGGGAGCAAAC
rnacentral:rRNA from 1 species